CAAAGACACUGUAAAAUAAAUGGUUACAAAUCUAUUUUUUGAAUUUCAUAUGAUGGGCAGUAAUCAUUUAAAAUUACUCUUAAAACAUUACAAGUGUGGACUGUCAGACUUAUAUUUGAAGCAUAACCCAUCAGAUGAAUGCAAAAGUACAUAAAAAACACAGAUGAUAUAUAUGUAUAUGUUAAUGCUUUUAUAGAAAUACCUGGUUAGAUGGUCGUCUGUGACUACUUCUUCAUCUAGGGUUGAGUUAGUCUGUUUGAAAAGUGAAGUGGACGUGUGACAGUUAUACAGACUGCUUUCCUCUUGUUCACAGCCACUCUACAACCUGAACACCGGCUAUUUCUGUCAUCCAAACGGAUUCAUAUAAUAUGUGUGGGUUUUUUUUUGUUUGUUUGUUUUUUUUGUCUACCCAGUAAAUAACAUUGGCAUGCACAUUUGAUAAAACAUCUAGGAAUUCACACAGUACCUUUGCAUAAUCAAAUGAUUAUUUAAAUCUGACAAAUAUGCAAACUGCCCAGUGUAAGGGAAAUUCCGCAGAAUGUAAUUUGUUUAUAGGGACAUAACUUAGUAAGUUACAGACUCUGAGCUUUUUGGCUUGCUUUGUGAAUGUGUUUUUAACCAGGCAUAGAGAAUUUAGUAAAGGAACUGUUUUUAUUGCAUUGGUGGGUAAACUUAUUCCAUUUCAAUACUUUAUCUUGUGCAUGUGAACUUUGCUCGUAUGAUGGGUUGACCAGGGUGUCCAUGAAAAUACAAACAAAUCUAGAGUUCUAGCAGUCAUGAACUUUGCCUUUUUUUCAUGUAUUUUGCAUGUCUUUGUAAAGGAAGUUCCAUGAAACUGGCCCACCAAAAUGAUACAAUCAAGAUAUUUGAAUACUGACAGAUCUCCUCUACACAGCUUUUACAAAGCAGAACAUUUCCAUAAUUCCCAAAUAAUUGUGUGGAUUCGCAUUGAAAUUAAUCACAACAGUGUUUCUGCAAUGUAUUGUAGAUAAGAAAUUCACUACUGGUUUCAUAGCAAGCAUUUCCUGAGCAUUUAAUAGGAUUACAUUCUCAAUGACUCUGAAUAUGGACUGUUGUACAGUAAGAGCUUUCUCUCUGAUGUUGAUCAUUGUCUUGUAAGGGCAUGUGAAGGGAGGAGCCAAAAAGGAAGUGAUUCCACAUACAAAAUCAAAACCUCCUUAACUGGAUCUCACACCAUCACGGAGACGAAGACGCUUCUGAAAGAACUGAUACAUUAACAGAUGUGAAGCUGGUGAAUGGUUUGAGUGGAUGUGAUGGCAGAGUUCAGAUUCGGUAUCGUGAGCAUUGGGGCGCAGUGUGUCACACUGGUUGGGAUCUAGAAAAUGCUACAGUGUUGUGUCAAGAGUUGGACUGUGGAGAAAUUGCAGAGCCAAAGGCAUAUGUGGGUCCCUCAGUCGGGUAAAUAUGGAUGGAUAAUGUGGCCUGUAUAGAGGAAAUAAGCGAACUGUGUGGGAUUGUCCUUUUAUUGGAUGGGGUGUGAGCAGUUGUUUGAAUAACCUUCAUGCAGGUUUUUUUUUUUUUUUUUUUUUUUUUUUGCCAAAGUAAGAUUAUCUUACAUUUGUUUACAUUAAUUUAUUAUAAAUUAUAUAUCCGUGCACAUCAUUGAUAUUUUUUUUAAUUCAUGUGCCCUCAUAAUCUUUAAUCAAAAUAACUUCCCUUCCAUCUUUCAUCGAUAUCUCUUUUCUGAUGAUGUAUUUACUGGCGUGAGGGCGGCACACAAUCCACGUUGCUUGAGGUCCAGUGUAAAGUUUCCACAGUCAGUGAUGGUUUGGGGUGCCAUGUCAUCUGCUGGUGUUGGUCCACUGUGUUUUCUGAGGUCCAAGGUCAACGCAGCCGUAUACCAGGAAGUUUUAGAGCACUUCAUGCUUCCUGCUGCUGACCAACUUUAUGCAGAUGCAGAUUUCAUUUUCCAACAGGACUUAGCACCUGCACACAGUGCCAAAGCUACCAGUACCUGGUUUAAGGACCAUGGUAUCCCUGUUCUUAAUUGGCCAGCAAACUCGCCUGACCUUAACCCCAUAGAAAAUCUAUGGGGUAUUGUGAAGAGGAAGAUGCGAUAUGCCAGACCCAACAAUGCAGAAGAGCUGAAGGCCACUAUCAGAGCAACCUGGGCUCUUAUAACAUCUGAGCAGUGCCACAGACUGAUCGACUCCAUGCCACGCCGCAUUGCUGCAGUAAUUCAGGCAAAAGGAGCCCCAACUAAGUAAUGAGUGCUGUACAUGCUCAUACUUUUCAUGUUAAAAAAAUGAAAAGAAAUAAACAUUUGAAAUAUA